rnacentral:lncRNA from 10 species
AGGGUCUGUUUUGUCUUCACUGUGACAGCCAGAAGUGCUGGGGAAUCUAAGUCCCCCAGGUGCCGUCUUCCUGCUAAUGACUGACAGAGGUCACGGAUCCAUCCUCCAGCUCCCUUGCCCCUCCAGUGGGAUAACUGUCAGGUGGAUUUCCACCUCCCAUUUCCCAGGGGAUUAAGCCCUUAUUGCCCACAGCAGUAACUCACUAAGGAUGUAUCCUUUGCUAGCUGCCUUCUCUUCCCCUCUUUCUUGCUUAUUCUCUACCGAUGCUUCCUAGGGGCUAUUUCCUAAAUAGUCUACUUAUCCUCAAAUCCUUGUCGCAGGCUUGGCUCCUGGGGGAAUUCAAAUUAAGACAUUCUCAAAGUAGGACACUGUCGUGAGCCAGGGUGGCAUAUGGAAGAAAACAUAUCCUGGAUAUAAUGGAUCAGCGAGAUGGAAAGAGCUGGGUUUCUGGGUGACUUUGUGCAGUGGAGCCCCCUGCUUGUGUCAGACCAUCUGCCUCCUUCUGGAUUCUUAGGUACCAUCCAAGCCCUAGGGAAAUAAGAUGCAGCACCAAGGUACCAAGGAAAAGGGUAGAAGCACUCCGAGUUGACCUGAGAUGAACUUUUCACCACUCUUGAAGAAUGAGGACUUGAACUAGUGAUCACUUUCAGUUCUAGAAAAAUAAGGUGGCCGGGUGAGGUGGCUCAUGCCUGUACUCCCAGUGCUUUGGGAGGCCGAGGUGGGCGGAUCACGAGAUCAGGAGUUUGAGACUAGCCCGGCCAACAUGGUGAAACCUCGUCUCUACUAAAAAUACAAAAAAUUAGCUGGGCAAGGUGGUGGGCACCUGUAAUCCCAGCUGCUCAGGAGGCUGAGGCAGGAGAAUUGCUUGAACCCGGGAGGCAGAGGUUGCAGUGAGCCGAGAUCACGCCAUUGCACUCCAGCCUGGGCGACAGUGCGAGGCUCUCAAAACAAACAAACAAAAAAAAAUGCACAAAAAACAAAAAUAAGAUUACAUCUCUUAAGUCUCUAAAUUGGGAACUGAAAUUCACACCUGCAACAUCUUUAAUGAUCCAAUGGAAAGAAGUCCAAACUCCUUGACCAGGGUUUGACAAAUUAUGGCCCACGGGCCAAAUUUGGUUGGCUGCCUGUUUUUGUUAUUAAAGAGUUUUUGGAAUACUGCCAUGCCCAUUUGCGUAUGUAUUGCCUCUGGCUAUUUUUGUACUGCAGCAUCAGGGUUGAGUUAUUGUGACAGAGACACUAGAGCCUGCAAAACCAAAAAGAUUUAUUAUCUGAUCCACUUUAGAAGAAAUUUGCCAACCUUUGUCCUAGAUCAAGUUUUCAAGACCGUCCACAAUUUAAGACCAUUUUUUUUUUUUUUGAGACGAAGUGUUGCUCUUGUCGCCCAGGCUGAAGUACAAUGGCACGAUCUCGGCUCACUGCAACCUCCGCCUCCUGGGUUCAAGCAAUUCUCCUGCCUCAGCCUCCUGCAUAGCUGGGAUUGCAGGUACACACCACCAUAUCCGACUAAUUUUUAUAUUUUUAGUAGAAACGGGGUUUCACCAUGUUGGCCAGGCUGGUCUCGAACUCCUGACCUCGUAAUCCACCUGCCUCAGCCUCCCAAAGUGCCGGGCAUGAGCCACCACGCCCGGCCUAAGACCAGUUUUUAAAACAUAUACUCUGCCACUCUACCACAUAAACUUUCCAAGGUACUAAAACCA